UCUAACACUAACGCUUUACCUCUUUGUGUAGAUUGUAUUGUUUAAAUAUUUUUAGUUUUUUAUAAUACAUGACGAGAGUCUAACAUAGGGGUAUGUUAAACCCUCAGAUUAAGGACAUCACGGUCUAGCUAACAUCCCUGACCGAUUCUCCUAAUCAACCGAGGGCUCGGAUGUUAGAUUCAUUGUGCACAUACACUCUCUGGGUCAUCAACGGGCGGCUUCAUCGAGGCGUAGAGGUCGUGCUCGACAUAGCUGUCGUAGACGACGAGAGGAGGAUGCGUGGACUCCACCACCUCCACCUGCGGCUGUGGGUCCUUCAACUCGAUGGUGCUGGACACCGUCGCGGUAGACGUCUGUGACCUCUGUGACGACCGACUUCCCACCACGGCGACCGCAUCGUGGGAGACUCCUCCACCGAGACGGAGUAGAGCGACGGCGGUGGCAGCGGCAGGAGGUCAAGGAUAUACGUCUGUAAACCGCGGACGGGGCUCGGGCGUGCGCAGCGGCUGCAGGUCUCGCCAGCGUCGGCGUCGGCGAGGUCGCCGCCAUGGGCGCGCGGCCGUGUGGUCACAGUCACAGUGGUCGGAGUGUGAUUGGUUGGAAAUCGAACGCGAUGCGGGCCUGCCUUUUGGGCUCGGUGGGCCGUGAGUCCCAUUUUGUUUGGGCGGCAAAGGAAACGAAUUGAUCCUACUGAUCAUAUUCGUUUGGCUUCAACGGUCAGGAUUUGGCUUCCACUCCAUGGGCCUUUCGCUCGACAAGCUCAUCAAAGCCGCCGCCGCCGCCGCCGUCGCCUCAGCUCGCUCCGGCUGCCUCUGCCUCCCCUGCCUCUGAGGAUUUGCUUGGGGAGAGACUUAUUAUGAGAUUCGCGGGUUGGUACCUGAAGAUCGCGGCGGUAGGGGCCUCCAUUGGCGCCGCCAUGGAGCUCUUCAUGAUCCACACGGGCUUCUACGAGAAGGUAACUGUCUUGGAGUCAGAAAAACGAGCUUGGGAAAGCAGUCCAGAGGCCCAAGCAAUGAGAGAAGCUCUCAAUCCAUGGCGCAAGCAUGAUGAACAAGAACAACAGAAGUAGUCAAGAUUUAUGUGUCUUGUCGAGUGUCUGUGCCCCCCCAUCCGUAGACCCAUGAAUGAGGAUUAAUUGGGCACACCUAUCAACGAACAAGAUAUUUGGUGUGCAGGUGGGUCACUCAUCUAGCAGUCAAAAGCAGAGAAGGGGCAGACUGGUAGGAGGAAAGCAGAGUUCAGCCGGUUGCAGAUGACAUCCAAUUCAGAGUUUCUGUUGGUUGGUUUGUUGAUGAUGAAUGUUCUUAACUUUUUGCUGGAUACUCCGCUGAUUUAUUAUAGUGUCCCCA